AUUGCCUCUCAGCCUUUUGGCUAAGAUAAAGUAUAGUAUUUGUUCCUAUCAGUGUAGUAUCUGACAUGGCCUCUCUCCUCGGACAGUGUAUUAAAUGGAUUUUUGGAGCAGGGAGAUGGAUACAGGAGCUGCUCUGUACACUCCAUGCAUCAACCUGGUGACAUGAUACUCCUAGGAAAGGUGCACCCCAU
ensembl:snRNA U2 U2 spliceosomal RNA